UGUUAUUUGUUAAAUUCAAUUCAAUUCAAUGCAUUUAUUUGUGAGCAUAGGUAUACAGAAAAGUCUUAAGAGGGCUAUCACAAAUUUUCGCGAAUUUAAACGUUUUAUACGAGUUUUGAUGCUUUGGAUAUAGUCACAAUAAAAAAACAAAAAUAAGAUUCAGAAAGUUUGAUCAUUUAUCUUGAAAGUGUAUUAAAUAAAUAUUUUAAUUUGUCCACGUACAUCAGUAAAAUCUUUGUCUCUGCAAAGGAUGUUUCAUAAAAUGUUGCUUUUGGGUAUCUUUUGAUGCUUCGGUACUCCGAGGAUAUAGCAAUUUAACCAUUUAUAAAAAUGUUCAAGAUACAACUAUAUCUUGUACUUGGAAGUGCUUAAAUCAAUUUAUUACAAUUCAUACAGUAUUACACCAAAAAUAAUUCUAUAAAACUGAGAGUUACUGACAAUUUUCCGUACGAAACUAUAUUUUUUAUCUAUGAAAGUAUAAUCCAAAUUCAAAUAAAAAACAUUUAAUAAUUAAGGUGGUAUUGUUAUAAAGCUUGAAAAAAAAAAUUGGUCUAUUUAAAAGUAAAACAAUAUUUUAAAAUAAUUUUUGUUUGCAAUGCAAAAAUCAAUAUAAAUCUUGUGACGCGCGGUGUUCAACUUUAGUCAGCGCCAGGCGCUUACCGAGGAGGGACGUAUCGCUCGCUGUUGCGCCGCGUAAACUCGCCGGAGUUCGAAAAAUAUAGCGCAACCUACGCAUCUAACACGUUUUGAUACUAGUGAGUUUUAUUUUAUUUAUUAGUUAUAAUGAUCUGAUUGAAAUGUAAUAUAUGUACAUAAGUAUUAGGCCAUGAUAUUCUAAUUCGAAAAUGUUAUAGAUUGGGUUCUCUUUUUUUGAUGUUGGUUAUAAAGAAAUAUGUACGUAAAUGUCAUCGUCGUUAGUUUCGCUGUUGCAUAAUAAUGUAAUUGGACUUCUUUGAUUCUUGCAGGAUAAUGAAAGCAUAUUUAAUUCAGACUAUCAGACUCAAUUGAAUACCAGUACAAAUAAUAUGGAAAAUGAAGAUACAAUACAUGGAAGACGAAUUAUAGAUUUUAGUUUUUUUAUAAAUCAAUUACUUAUAAUUGAUAAACAUGGUGAAAAGUUUGGUUGUCGAUUAAAUAAUUUAAACAUUGUAAACGAUUACUUGUUUAUUGUAACUCAAUCGAGCUAUUCUAGGUUAUAAAAUUCAUCGGUACAAAUAAUAUUUCAUAAACUAUAAAAACAAUAAAUUAUUUCGGAAAAAAGUGGCAAAGUCUCAAGUUUGUUUGUGCCGCGUGGCGGUCCGCAGGUGUGCGUUGCGUAUUUCACUAGACGCACACAUGCGCAAGUGCUGCCGGCUAUCGUCUAAUUUACCUACAACUGAGCAAUUCGAUUUUGUAAUAGCGCUCUUAAAAUUAAACA